rnacentral:rRNA from 1 species
ACUCCUACGGGAGGCAGCAGUGGGGAAUAUUGCGCAAUGGGCGAAAGCCUGACGCAGCAACGCCGCGUGCGGGAUGAAGGCCUUCGGUUGUAAACCGCUUUCAGCAGGGAAGAAGCGAAAGUGACGGUACCUGCAGAAGAAGCACCGGCUAACUACGUGCCAGCAGCCGCGGUAAUACGUAGGGUGCAAGCGUUGUCCGGAUUUUAUUUGGCGUAAAGAGCUCGUAGGCGGUUAGUCACGUCGGAUGUGAAAAACCCAGUGCUUAACACUGGGCCUGCAUUCGAUACGGGCUGACUAGAGUGUUGUAGGGGAGACUGGAACUCCUGGUGUAGCGGUGAAAUGCGCAGAUAUCAGGAAGAACACCGGUGGCGAAGGCGGGUCUCUGGGCAACUACUGACGCUGAGGAGCGAAAGCGUGGGGAGCAAACAGGAUUAGAU